rnacentral:misc_RNA from 1 species
UGCUACUUCGACACUUCCAUCCCUUUGCCGGAGGCGGCCAUGUGUGCGCCAUCGACGCUGUACCGUUACGAAAAACCGCGAUCUGCCUCUCCCUCAUGAUGCCGGUCACCUCGUUGUGGUGCCGGGAUGCACUAUCCACUCCGUGGAGACACGAAGAUGCGACACCCGGCACUUGCGAAGGGUGGCGCAGCGUUGGUGUUGGCGGACACGUUGGGGCUGUCGCUUUGCCGAACAAGUGCGGAUGCAGAGGGGUGUGGCGCGCCCUUGCCGCCACAGCUUCAUGCCAAUGCCCUGCCUGUCGCGGCACACGCGGGCAAGCGAUGCAGACCUCCCCCUUUUCGGUGAUGUCGGCGGGAAAGGAAGCCGAGGGCAGCGGUCUCUCCAGACAAGAAGGUUGCCCUGCAGCAGGCCCGCGUAUGGGGAAACGCGAGCGCUGUGUGCACGUGCUGCCCGCCGCAGCGGGCAUGGUGUAUCACAUCCAGGCACGGCAUCCAGGGGCGAGAAUAGCGUGGGCGAUAGGCGAAAAAGGCGCGCAGGGGAUGCACACGGAUCAGCGCCGCAGUGCAUGUGUGCGACGCAUGCGCCAUCUCGUACGCCCGACCGGGUGGGCUGGUGCGGCGGUGGCGGCGGAAGCAUGGCGAGGGCGCCCCGAGCCACGCCAUGGAGUCAUCGGGAGUCCACUGUGGAGGGUCUCCACCCGGCCUUGUGCCGGGGCUUGAAGCGAGUCAGGGAGAAGCACGGCAGACAUGCUGGCAGAGUGCAGGGUCUCCGAGGGCCCUGGCCUGCGGCCGGCCGACUUCCUCCCUGAGCUCAUCCGGCAUGACCCUAGACCACCCCCUGUUACCCGCACGCCGCACACCACCGGCUCCGCCCUCGAGCAGGACGCUGGGUGCGGCUCGCCUUGAUCAUGGCUGUGCCGUCCAGGCAGGUGGGCCUGGAGCCGCUCGCACGGGGAGUAUGGAGCGGAGGAAGGACACGAGGCGCCCGCUAGACGCACGCCCGGAUGCGACGGCAGAGGCCCCGCCCUAGACGGCGAGGAUUUCGCUGUGGUGCAGCAGAGGCCGGCGAGCUGUGCCUGCAUGCGCGUAUUCGUUGACUUGUUCCGGGUGUGGAAUGGACACGCUGAAAAAGCAAAAGCCUCCUGUUGUUUUUUUUUUUGUUAUGUCUGUGCGCUUUUUCCUUUUCAUGUAUUCGAGUCGCGCCUGCGCGAAUCGCGACCCCAACUCCUGUCUUUAUUCGACCACGUCUUUGCACCGAUGCAUCAUUGAUCCCUUAGCGGCUCCAUUCG